rnacentral:rRNA from 1 species
CCUACGGGAGGCAGCAGUGAGGGAUAUUGCACAAUGGGGGAAACCCUGAUGCAGCAACGCCGCGUGAGUGAAGAAGUUCUUCGGAUUGUAAACUUUUAUCUUGUGGGAAGAUAAUGACGGUACCUCAGUAAGAAGCUCCGGCUAACUACGUGCCAGCAGCCGCGGUAAUACGUAGGGAGCGAGCGUUGUCCGGAUUUACUGGGUGUAAAGGGUGCGUAGACGGCUAGGCAAGUCAGGUGUGAAAUACCGCGGCUCAACUGCGGGGCUGCACUUGAAACUGUAGAGCUUGAGUGAAGGAGAGGUAAGCGGAAUUCCUAGUGUAGCGGUAAAAUGCGUAGAUAUUAGGAGGAACACCAGUGGCGAAGGCGGCUUACUGGACAUUAACUGACGCUGAGGCACGAAAGCGUGGGGAGCAAACAGGAUUAGAUACCCCUGUAGUC